rnacentral:rRNA from 1 species
GCAUAACGCGAAGAACCUUACCUGGGCUUGACAUGUUGGUGACCGGUGUGGAAACACACCUUUCCUUCGGGACACCAUCACAGGUGGUGCAUGGCUGUCGUCAGCUCGUGUCGUGAGAUGUUGGGUUAAGUCCCGCAACGAGCGCAAACCCCUACUGCCAGUUGCCAGCGGGUGAUGCCGGGCGACUCUGGCGGGACUGCCGGUGACAAACCGGAGGAAGGCGGGGAUGAGGUCAAGUCAUCAUGCCCUUUAUGCCUUGGGCGUACACACGUACUACAAUGGCCGGUACAGAGGGAGGCGAAGGCGCGAGCCGGAGCGGAUCCUAAAAGCCGGUCCCAGUUCGGAUCGCAGGCUGCAACCCGCCUGCGUGAAGUCGGAAUCGCUAGUAAUCUCGGGUCAGCAUACCGAGGUGAAUACGUUCCCGGGUCUGUACACACCG